rnacentral:rRNA from 1 species
GACGAACGCUGGCGGCGUGCUUAACACAUGCAAGUCGAACGGAAAGGCCCUGCUUGCAGGGUACUCGAGUGGCGAACGGGUGAGUAACACGUGGGUGAUCUGCCCUGCACUUCGGGAUAAGCCUGGGAAACUGGGUCUAAUACCGGAUAGGAGCCAUUUUUAGUGUGAUGGUUGGAAAGUUUUUCGGUGUAGGAUGAGCUCGCGGCCUAUCAGCUUGUUGGUGGGGUAAUGGCCUACCAAGGCGG